UAUUUAAAGGACCAAGGCUAGCCUGA
rnacentral:piRNA from 1 species